AACGAACGCUGGCGGCAUGCCUAACACAUGCAAGUCGAACGAGACCUUCGGGUCUAGUGGCGCACGGGGGCGUAACGCGUGGGAACCUGCCCUUAGGUUCGGAAUACCUCCCCGAAAGGGGUGCUAAUACCGGAUAAUGUCUUCGGACCAAAGAUUUAUCGCCGUUGGAUGGGCCCGCGUUGGAUUAGCUAGUUGGUAGGGUAAAAGCCUACCAAGGCGACGAUCCAUAGCUGGUCUGAGAGGAUGAUAAGCCACAAUGGGAAUGAGACACGGCCCAGAAUCCUACGGGAGGCAGCAGUGGGGAAUAUUGGACAAUGGGCGAAAGCCUGAUCCAGCAAUGCCGCGUGAGUGAUGAAGGCCUUAGGGUUGUAAAGCUCUUUUACCCGGGAUGAUAAUGACAGUACCGGGAGAAUAAGCUCCGGCUAACUCCGUG
rnacentral:rRNA from 1 species